GGAAGGGCCAUCGCUCAAAGGAUAAAAGGUACUCCCGGGAUAACAGGCUGAUCACUCCCAAGAGCUCACAUCGACGGAGUGGUUUGGCACCUCGAUGUCGGCUCGUCACAUCCUGGGGCUGGAGAAGGUCCCAAGGGUUGGGCUGUUCGCCCAUUAAAGCGGCACGCGAGCUGGGUUUAGAACGUCGUGAGACAGUUCGGUCCCUAUCUGGUGUGGGCGUUGGAUGAUUGAUGGGAGCUGCUCCUAGUACGAGAGGACCGGAGUGGACGAACCGCUGGUGUUCGGGUUGUCAUGCCAAUGGCAUUGCCCGGUAGCUAUGUUCGGAACGGAUAACCGCUGAAAGCAUCUAAGCGGGAAGCCGGCCCAAAGAUGAGUCAUCCCUGACCUUUAAGGUCUGGAAGGGUUGUUAUAGACGAUGACGUUGAUAGGCAGGGUGUGGAAGCGUUGUAAGGCGUUAAGCUAACCUGUACUAAUUGCCCGAGAGGCUUAACC
rnacentral:rRNA from 1 species